rnacentral:rRNA from 1 species
CCUGAGAAACCCAAAAGAUCGAAUGGGGAGAUUCACCGUCAGCGCGGCUGGCUUCCGUGCGGUUCGCGAUGGCCGGGACCUCGGUCUCGCGUCACGCGUCCGCUGCGGCAUGUCCGGAUACGUCGGCGUGCACUUCUCCCCUAGUAGGACGUCGCGACCCGUUGGGUGUCGGACCGAUGGCCGUUUGGUCGCCUGUCUCGUCGCGUUCACGCGUGCACGGGGCAGACCGAAAUGGUCGAGCGUCCGGCUGCCCGGCGGUAUAGAACGCUAUUGAACGGUAAUGGGCCGCAUUAAAAGUGCGUCCAGGCUCGUCGGCAGGCUCGUCUCGCCCGUAUUUACGGACCUAGCGCCGUUGCCGGGUGCUUGGCGUGGCCGUUAGUCGACGAUGUCCUCAGACAGGCUCUAAAAUUCGAAAGGACGACCGGUCGGCGACGCUACUGCUUAGGUACUACAGUUGGUUUU